UAUGAUGGGUAGGGGAGCUUCCCAUACGGGUUGAAGCAUGACCGUAAGGACAUGUGGACAGUAUGGGAGUGAGAAUGUUGGCAUGAGUAGCGAGAUGUGGGUGAGAAUCCCACAGGCCGUAAACCCAAGGUUUCCAGGGGAAGGUUCGUCCGCCCUGGGUUAGUCGGGACCUAAGCUGAGGCCGAAAGGCGUAGGUGAUGGACAACAGGUUGAUAUUCCUGUACUACCGAUAACCGUUUGAGAGAAGGGAUGACACAGUAGGAUAAGCUAAGCACACUGUUGGUUAUGUGUGCCCAAGCAUUGAGGCAGUCAAAGUAGGCAAAUCCGCUUUGAUAAUGCUGGGAUGUGAUGGGGAGCGAAAUUUAGUAGCGAAGUAGCUGAUUUCACACUGUCAAGAAAAGUCUCUAUCGAGGUUAAAGGUACCCGUACCGCAAACCGACACAGGUG
rnacentral:rRNA from 1 species